rnacentral:rRNA from 1 species
UGUUGCCUACGGGGGGCAGCAGUGGGGAAUAUUGCACAAUGGGCGAAAGCCUGAUGCAGCAACGCCGCGUGAAGGAAGAAGGCGUUCGGGUCGUAAACUUCUGUCCUUGGGGAAGAAGAACUGACGGUACCCAAGGAGGAAGCCCCGGCUAACUACGUGCCAGCAGCCGCGGUAAUACGUAGGGGGCAAGCGUUAUCCGGAAUUAUUGGGCGUCAAGAGUACGUAGGUUGCAGCCU